UAUUUGGGCUCUUUUUUAUUUAACUUUAUUUGUCGAAUUUUGCUUGUAUUUAUUUGACUUUAGACCUUUGUUGUGUAAACUUGAGUGGUUGGUAAAGGAAUUGUUUACCUUUGCACCCAAAAAAAAAAAAUAUUCGCUGACUUUGAAGAGUCAUACAUUCUUCCAAACCCUCAACUUCAAAACCUUUAAUUAAUAACGAUAUAUAAAAGGUCCAAUAUUAUGUACUGGUGUUGUUUUUGAUUAAUUAAUCAGCACAAGGAUUAGUCUGACUUUAUGAUCUAGCAAACUAGAAAAUGACGGUAGCUACCUAACCAUGACCACAUUUUUCAUGCUUUAAUAUGUGCAUGAUAUAUGAUAAGAACAAUCUCACUCAAAUUUGCUGGAACACACAUGAUCAGAACCAAAAUAGAGAUUUUUUUGUGAGGGUU
rnacentral:lncRNA from 1 species